UGAACGACUCUCGGCAACGGAUAUCUCGGCUCUCGCAUCGAUGAAGAACGUAGCGAAAUGCGAUACUUGGUGUGAAUUGCAGAAUCCCGUGAACCAUCGAGUCUUUGAACGCAAGUUGCGCCCGAGGCCUCGGCCGAGGGCACGYCUGCCUGGGUGUCACGCAC
rnacentral:rRNA from 1 species